rnacentral:rRNA from 1 species
AUUGAACGCUGGCGGCAUGCCUUACACAUGCAAGUCGAACGGUAACAGGUUAAGCUGACGAGUGGCGCACGGGUGAGUAAUGUAUCGGAACGUGCCCAGUCGUGGGGGAUAACUGCUCGAAAGAGCAGCUAAUACCGCAUACGACCUGAGGGUGAAAGCGGGGGAUCGCAAGACCUCGCGCGAUUGGAGCGGCCGAUAUCAGAUUAGGUAGUUGGGGAGGUAAAGGCUCACCAAGCCGACGAUCUGUAGCUGGUCUGAGAGGACGACCAGCCACACUGGGACUGAGACACGGCCCAGACUCCUACGGGAGGCAGCAGUGGGGAAUUUUGGACAAUGGGCGCAAGCCUGAUCCAGCCAUGCCGCGUGCGGGAAGAAGGCCUUCGGGUUGUAAACCGCUUUUGUCAGGGAAGAAAAGGUUCUGGCUAAUACCUGGGACUCAUGACGGUACCUGAAGAAUAAGCACCGGCUAACUACGUG